GACGAACGCUGGCGGCGUGCUUAACACAUGCAAGUCGAACGCUGAAGCUCAGCUUGCUGGGUGGAUGAGUGGCGAACGGGUGAGUAACACGUGAGUAACCUGCCCCCUUCUUUGGGAUAACGCCCGGAAACGGGUGCUAAUACUGGAUAUUCACUGAUCUUCGCAUGGGGGUUGGUGGAAAGGUUUUUUCUGGUGGGGGAUGGGCUCGCGGCCUCUCAGCUUGUUGGUGGGGUGAUGGCCUACCAAGGCUUUGACGGGUAGCCGGCCUGAGAGGGUGACCGGUCACAGUGGGACUGAGAUACGGCCCAGACUCCUACGGGAGGGAGCAGUGGGGAAUAUUGCACAAUGGGCGAAAGCCUGAUGCAGCGACGCCGCGUGAGGGAUGGAGGCCUUCGGGUUGUAAACCUCUUUCGCUCAUGGUCAAGCCGCAACAUUGGUUGUGGUGAGGGUAGUGGGUAAAGAAGCGCCGGCUAACUACGUG
rnacentral:rRNA from 1 species